CUGAUGCAGCAACGCCGCGUGAGGGACGACGGCCUUCGGGUUGUAAACCUCUUUUAGCAGGGAAGAAGCGCAAGUGACGGUACCUGCAGAAAAAGCACCGGCUAACUACGUGCCAGCAGCCGCGGUAAUACGUAGGGUGCAAGCGUUGUCCGGAAUUAUUGGGCGUAAAGAGCUCGUAGGCGGUUUGUCGCGUCUGCUGUGAAAACCCGAGGCUCAACCUCGGGCCUGCAGUGGGUACGGGCAGACUAGAGUGCGGUAGGGGAGAUUGGAAUUCCUGGUGUAGCGGUGGAAUGCGCAGAUAUCAGGAGGAACACCGAUGGCGAAGGCAGAUCUCUGGGCCGUAACUGACGCUGAGGAGCGAAAGCGUGGGGAGCGAACAGGAUUAGAUACCCUGGUAGUCCACGCCGUAAACGUUGGGAACUAGAUGUAGGGACCAUUCCACGGUUUCUGUGUCGCAGCUAACGCAUUAAGUUCCCCGCCUGGGGAGUACGGUCGCAAGACUAAAACUCAAAGGAAUUGACGGGGGCCCGCACAAGCGGCGGAGCAUGCGGAUUAAUUCGAUGCAACGCGAAGAACCUUACCAAGGCUUGACAUAUAGAGGAAACGUCUGGAAACAGUCGCCCCGCAAGGUCUCUAUACAGGUGGUGCAUGGUUGUCGUCAGCUCGUGUCGUGAGAUGUUGGGUUAAGUCCCGCAACGAGCGCAACCCUCGUCCUAUGUUGCCAGCACGUAAUGGUGGGAACUCAUGGGAGACUGCCGGGGUCAACUCGGAGGAAGGUGGGGAUGACGUCAAAUCAUCAUGCCCCUUAUGUCUUGGGCUUCACGCAUGCUACAAUGGCCGGUACAAAGGGCUGCAAUACCGUAAGGUGGAGCGAAUCCCAAAAAGCCGGUCUCAGUUCGGAUUGAGGUCUGCAACUCGACCUCAUGAAGUUGGAGUCGCUAGUAAUCGUGGAUCAGCAACGCCACGGUGAAUACGUUCCCGGGCCUUGUACACACCGCCCGUCAAGUCAUGAAAGUCGGUAACACCCGAAGCCAGUGGCCCAACCGCAAGGA
rnacentral:rRNA from 1 species